CUUGGUGUAAUACAAUAUAAGUAUAAUCCAAACUUAUCUUUUUGUAAAACCUUACAUGAUAAGAUUUUGCCUGCAUUCCAAUUCCAUCUUUUGUUCAUUACCUGCUAGCAUCUUCAGCAUUCUCUCUCGUCCUCGGAGACAAGUAGCCACCCCUCACUUCAGAACCGUCAAGCUUGCUGUUUCCUCAGGCAGAUGAUCACCUCUGGCAAGCUAUACCUACUAGAAGAUGUACAGUAGAAGCAGACCUCUACAUUCCAUGAUUCAACUGUCAAUAGAACAGAAAGCUCCAGUCACAGGAGGGAAAAAAAAUGAAACUGCUACUGUAAUUGAAAGAAAGCCAAAUGUUGUCUAUCAUACAUUCAUGGUGGGGAUUAUAUGUUAAGUCUUAUAACAGAAGGAAACUUGCUUCCAUACUACGCUCCUCCUAUUUUUCUCAGUUGGAGAAGAAAGGAAAUAAUAAGGUGCAAGAAAGAGGGUCACAACAAAGCUGUCAAGUUCUGACAUGACGGAGAAGACAUCCAUAAAGCAUCUGGGAAAGGACAUGCUCACACAUUUACAAAAUGCUCAUUUAUUCUCAAGUACUUGUGCAGAGCUGAUUUCAGAG